ensembl:snoRNA Small nucleolar RNA SNORD61
GCUGUGAUGAUGCUUUCUCGCAAUGAUCAGUUUGAACUGAUUUAGCCCAACUGUCCUCUAAGAAGUACUGAGCUU